AUGCUUGAUCCUAUCAAAGCUGCCCCUGAUGAAAUUGUUCGGACGAGCACUCUUUCAACCAAGUGGAGACACACAUGGACAUCAUGCCCUAAUCUAAUAUUUGAUGCUGCCACGAUGUGUGCCAACAGUACUACUUCCAGCAAAGAGCAGCGCGCGCGGGUUUUCAUUGCAAGUGUCAAUGCUGUCUUGAAGCAGUGUGGUGCUACGGCUGUUGAAGAAUUUCAGAUCAAGUUCCCAUUCGACAACCUGCUAGUUGAUCAUCUCAAUAACUGGGUGAAAUUUGCUGUCUUGUCACGGGCAAAGAAUCUAGCAAUUGAGUUGGAGCCCGAGGACUCAAGAUGCUGCAAACAUCCGUUCCCGUUUGAGCUUUUCGACAAGCAAAGCAUGUCCCGCCUUGAGGCAAUUCGUCUCAGCUUCGUAUCACUUAAAGCACGACCCAACUUUAGUGGUUUUCCAAACAUCAAAGCGCUUGAUCUAAGAAGUGUGGAUGUCUCUUCAAAUGAUCUUCAGCUUGUUCUGUCAAGUUGCUCCAAUCUUGAGAGAUUAAGCAUCGCUAUGUGCCAUCCGCAUGAUGACAUAAGGGUGUCACUUCCGCGUCUGCAACACUUGCACGUGGCGCACAGUUGCAUAAACAAAAUACACUUCAUCUCCAAGAACCUCCGAACUUUUGUGUAUGAUGGAUUUAUGGUACCUCUUGAUCUCAGUGAAAGUCUGCAACUAGGACAUGUGGAAAUGAACUUUCCUUCGUUAACGCUAGAGCAUGCCAUUACCGAACUUCCCCGAGCGAUGCCCCAUGCACAGAACCUGAAUCUGAGUGCAUGUAUGACAUUGAAGGUAUUUUGCUUGCCAGAGGGUGUGACCAAGUUUUCUCAUCUGAAGUAUCUACAGCUGAGGUUGUAUUUUUCUGGUCAGGACAAUCUCCUCUCCUUGGCUUCUUUUCUCAAAGCUGCCCCUCUACUAGAAGAGUGA
rnacentral:rRNA from 1 species